CCUGCGCUACCGUUACCGGUAAUGGUUGGUGGGUAAUAGUCCAAGUAAUGGUGGUGAAAAACACCUGCAUAACCAAACAAUCAAUCGGCGUCAGCCCUUCAUUAUCCAUCGUGGGAGAAGUUCACUUCGUUGCUCUGACACGUGAAUGAUAGGUGCACGGAGCCCACGCGGUAGAGCCGGCUGGAAUCGAGUCGCUGCCGGCCGCGUGGCGCCGCAGUGCCCACUACGAUGGCGCUGAAAACUGUGGUCGGUCAGAAGAUCCUGGAGCUGGUGAGGGCAGCCAGAAGGCCGAGCGGCGCGCCCGACUGGCGUGUGCUGAUCGUGGACGAGCUGUGCAUGCGCAUGGUGUCUGCGUGCUGCAAGAUGCACGACCUGGCCCAGGAGGGCGUCACCAUCGUGGAAGACCUGCGGAAGCGCCGCGAGCCGCUGCCGCACCUGGAGGCCGUCUACCUGGUGCAGCCGACUGAGCGUUCGGUACGCGCCCUGCUGGCUGACUGGAGCACCGGCGGCCGGCCCAUGUACCGCGCCGCGCACAUCCUCUUCUCGGAGCCGUGUCCGGACGGCCUGUUCGAGCUGCUGGCCGGCGCCGGCGUGUCGCGCCACGUGCGAACCCUGAAGGAGGUGAACAUGGCGUUCGUGCCGCUGGAGGCGCUGCUGUACUCGCUGGACGCGCCGCGCACCCUGCCGGCCGUGCUGUCGGGCGGCGGCGGCGCCCAGCUGGAGCGUCUGGCCGAGCAGCUGGCCACACUGUGCGCCACGCUCGGCGAGUACCCGGCCGUCCGCUACCGAGACCACUGUGCGCACAACGAGCAGCUGGCGCGCCUGCUGCAGGCGCGACUGGACGCCCACAAGGCGGACGAGCCCACCAUGGGACAGGGCGCCGAAAAGGCGCGCUCUCAGCUGCUGAUCCUGGACCGCGGCUUCGACGCCGUGUCGCCGCUGCUGCACGAGCUCACCCUGCAGGCCAUGGCCUACGACCUGCUGCCCAUCGAGAACGACGUCUACAAGUACGAGGCCAGCAAGGGCGACGGCCUGAAGGAGGUGCUGCUGGACGACAAUGACGACCUGUGGGUGGAGCUGCGCCACCAGCACAUCGCCGUCGUCUCACAGCAGGUCACUAAGAACAUGAAGAAGUUCGUGGAGACCAAGCGCGGCAUGUCGACGGACAAGGCGUCGAUGCGCGACCUGGGCCAGCUCAUCAAACGGAUGCCGCAGUACCAGCAGGAGCUGAGCAAGUACUCGACGCAUCUGCACCUGGCUGAGGAGUGCAUGAAAGGAUACACCGGUCGCGUCGACAAACUCUGCAAGGUGGAACAGGACUUGGCCAUGGGCACCGAUACGGAAGGCGAGAAGAUCCGCGACCACAUGCGCAACAUCGUGCCCAUCCUGCUGGACCAGAACGUCACCACGUACGACAAGAUCCGGAUCAUCCUGCUCUACAUCCUGGCCAAGAACGGCAUCAGCGAGGAGAACCUCAACAAGCUGGUGCAGCACGCGCAGAUCCCGGCCGCCGAGCGUGACAUCAUCACCAACCUGGCCAAACUGGGCCUGGAGGUGGUGGUCGAGGGACAGCACCGGCGCAAAAUACCGCAGGUGGCGCGCAAGGAGCGCGUCUCGGAGCACACCUACCAGACGUCCCGCUGGACGCCCGUCAUCAAAGACAUCAUGGAGGACGCCAUCGAGCUGAAACUGGACGAGCGCCAGUUUCCGUUCCUGGCCGGCCGGGCGGCGCAGACUGGCUACCCGCGCGCCACGCCCACCACGGCCCGCUACGGCCACUGGCACAAGGACAAGGGCACGCCGGCGGCGCGCUCCGUGCCGCGGCUCAUCGUCUUCGUGCUGGGCGGCGUCUGCUACAGCGAGAUCCGCACCGCAUACGAGGUGACGGCGGCACUGAAGAACUGGGAGGUGCUGAUUGGCAGCGAGCAGCUGCUCACACCGGAGAGUUUCCUGGGCAGCCUGGCUGGGCUGGGCGGCCCGGCCGAGUGACCGCGCUGCCGCUGCGGGGGCCCGGGGCAGGAGCCGGCCAGGCCGGCCGAUCCCGGCGCCGGUAUCAUUAGCCAUUACUGAUAUCAGGUGCAGCUGGCGGCUGACGGAGCUGCCCGCGAUUGACCUGGUGAUUCAGCGGCCUCCGCGGUCGCUCUAAUUCUCCGACACGGCGGUGAGCUUCCGCAGCCUAAGAGCUGCCGUGCUGCUGUCGCAUAAAGUUCCAGUUGCUGCGCGUGCCUUCCUGUACGUAUAAUGGAUGUGUCUAUGGAGGCUGGAUGGGGCGGGCGGGCUGUCCCGGGGGCGGUGGGUACUGGCUGAGGGUACCCGCCGCCGUGCCGAGGCGCUGAGGGCUGGGACAGCCUGCCCCCGCCGGCGGUGACACGCCCGUCCGCGCCACGCGACCCGUCCGGCGGAGCGGCGCCUUCCACUAUCGAGAUUACAGGGCUGUUUAGCGGGGCGGGCGGGGCGCUGGUGAGCAGCGCCCCAUUCCACAGGUUCGGCUGUUAUAUUGGCCGGACGGCCGCUUCCGUGCUUAUGCGCUGAUCAGAUUAUCAUAUACAAGUGCGUCUUACUGCGGCUGCACGUCUGUGAUUGUUGUUCCGGUUGUUGCUCCUGAUGGCGGCUGAGUGCCGUGUGGCGCCGGCAGCCAAACUUGGGAGGCCGCCGGCAGUGGAGGUGGCGCCUGCCAGCCCCUGUGUUCCCAGCGUAGCGGGCAGUAUAUCUGGCGCACUGUUUGAGCGCGCCGCCGACUGCGGACCAUAUACAUUAUACAUACAU
rnacentral:misc_RNA from 1 species